GAGUUUGAUCCUGGCUCACAACGAACGCUGGCGGCAGGCCUAACACAUGCAAGUCGAGCGCUCUCUUCGGAGGGAGCGGCGGACGGGUGAGUAACGCGUGGGAACGUGCCCUUGGGUAAGGGACAACCAUUGGAAACGAUGGCUAAUACCUUAUGAUGUCUACGGACCAAAGAUUUAUCGCCCAAGGAUCGGCCCGCGUUGGAUUAGCUAGAUGGUGGGGUAAUGGCUCACCAUGGCGACGAUCCAUAGCUGGUUUGAGAGGAUGAUCAGCCACACUGGGACUGAGACACGGCCCAGACUCCUACGGGAGGCAGCAGUGGGGAAUCUUGGACAAUGGGGGCAACCCUGAUCCAGCCAUGCCGCGUGAGUGAUGAAGGCCUUAGGGUUGUAAAACUCUUUCAGCAGGGAAGAUAAUGACGGUACCUGCAGAAGAAGCCCCGGCUAACUCCGUGCCAGCAGCCGCGGUAAUACGGAGGGGGCUAGCGUUGUUCGGAAUUACUGGGCGUAAAGCGCGCGUAGGCGGACUGACCAGUUGGGGGUGAAAUCCCGGGGCCCAACCCCGGAACUGCCCCCAAAACUGUCAGUCUAGAGUUCGGGAGAGGUAAGUGGAAUUCCUAGUGUGGAGGUGAAAUUCGUAGAUAUUAGGAAGAACACCAGUGGCGAAAGCGGCUUACUGGACCGACACUGACGCUGAGGUGCGAAA
rnacentral:rRNA from 1 species